rnacentral:rRNA from 1 species
ACGAACGCUGGCGGCGUGCUUAACACCUGCAAGUCGAACGGAAAGGCCUGCAGCUUGCUGCGGGUACUCGAGUGGCGAACGGGUGAGUAACACGUGGGUGAUCUGCCUUGCACUUCGGGAUAAGCUUGGGAAACUGGGUCUAAUACCGGAUAGGACAGCUGUUUAGUGUCAGUUGUGGAAAGUUUUUUCGGUGCAAGAUGAGCUCGCGGCCUAUCAGCUUGUUGGUGGGGUAAUGGCCUACCAAGGCGUCGACGGGUAGCCGGCCUGAGAGGGUGUACGGCCACAUUGGGACUGAGAUACGGCCCAGACUCCUACGGGAGGCAGCAGUGGGGAAUAUUGCACAAUGGGCGGAAGCCUGAUGCAGCGACGCCGCGUGGGGGAUGAAGGCCUUCGGGUUGUAAACUCCUUUCGACAGGGACGAAGCUUUUGUGACGGUACCUGUAGAAGAAGCACCGGCUAACUACGUG